ACGAACGCUGGCGGCGUGCUUAACACCUGCAAGUCGUACGGUAAGGCCCUUUCGGGGGUACACGAGUGGCGAACGGGUGAGUAACACGUGAGUAACCUGCCCACAACUUUGGGAUAACUUCGGGAAACCGGAGCUAAUACCGGAUAAUAUAUUGAACCGCAUGGUUCAAUAGUGAAAGACGGUUUUGCUGUCACUUAUAGAUGGAUCCGCGCCACAUUAGCUAGUUGGUAAGGUAACGGCUUACCAAGGCAACGAUGCGUAGCCGACCUGAGAGGGUGAUCGGCCACACUGGAACUGAGACACGGUCCAGACUCCUACGGGAGGCAGCAGUAGGGAAUCUUCCGCAAUGGGCGAAAGCCUGACGGAGCAACGCCGCGUGAGUGAUGAAGGUCUUCGGAUCGUAAAACUCUGUUAUUAGGGAAGAACAAAUGUGUAAGUAACUAUGCACGUCUUGACGGUACCUAAUCAGAAAGCCACGGCUAACCACGUG
rnacentral:rRNA from 1 species